rnacentral:ribozyme from 13 species
CCAUUAAUCCAUUCUUUUCUUUUUCUUUUCCAUUUUCACUCCCAUUUCUUUCUUCCUCGUCAGCCAUCUUUCCAAAAAAACAAAAAACAAUAAAAUAAAUUCUCAAUUUAAAAAAA